rnacentral:rRNA from 1 species
AAGGAUCAUUAUCGAGUUAGGGUCCUCCGGGCCCCAUCUCCAACCCUUGUCUAUCUUGUCUUGUUGCUUUGGCGGGCCCGUCCUUCACCGGACCGUUGGGGGCUAUCCCCCCUGACCAGCGCCCGCCAGUAGCCCCCAUUAAUUCGUUGAACAGUGUUGUCUGAGUGGAAAAAUAAAUAACCAAAACUUUCAACAACGGAUCUCUUGGUUCUGGCAUCGAUGAAGAACGCAGCGAAAUGCGAUAAGUAAUGCGAAUUGCAGAAUUCCGUGAGUCAUCGAAUCUUUGAACGCACAUUGCGCCCUUUGGUAUUCCGAAGGGCAUGCCUGUUCGAGCGUCAUUAUCAACUCUCAAGCCCGGCUUGCGGUUGGGUCCCGCCGUGGGCUUCCCCGGCGGACCCGAAAGAUAAUGGCGGUGCCCGCGGGCCCCUGGAUGCAACGAGCUUCUCAGCACGCGUCCUCGCGGUCUCCGGCGCCGUCUUAACUAAACCCCUCGCAGAUUGACCUCGGAUCAGGUAGGGAUACCCGCUGAACUUAA